rnacentral:tRNA from 4 species
GGACCCUUAGCUCAGUUGGUUAGAGCGUUUCCUUGACAUGGAAGAGGUCACUGGUUCGAGUCCAGUAGGGUCCACCA